rnacentral:rRNA from 1 species
UACAGAGGUCUCAAGCGUUGUUCGGAUUCAUUGGGCGUAAAGGGUGCGUAGGUGGCGCUGUAAGUCGGGUGUGAAAUUUCGGAGCUUAACUCCGAAACUGCAUUCGAUACUGCGGUGCUUGAGGACUGGAGAGGAGACUGGAAUUCAUGGUGUAGCAAUGAAAUGCGUAGAGAUCAUGAGGAAGACCAGUGGCGAAGGCGGGUCUCUGGACAGUUCCUGACACUGAGGCACGAAGGCCAGGGGAGCAAACGGG